rnacentral:rRNA from 1 species
CAUGAGCUGGGGGUGGCCGCAGAGACCAGCGAGAAGCGACUGUUUACUAAAAACACAGGUCCGUGCGAAGCCGUAAGGCGAUGUAUACGGACUGACGCCUGCCCGGUGCUGGAACGUUAAGGGGACCGGUUAGUGCACUUUCGGGUGUGCGAAGCUGAGAACUUAAGCGCCAGUAAACGGCGGUGGUAACUAUAACCAUCCUAAGGUAGCGAAAUUCCUUGUCGGGUAAGUUCCGACCUGCACGAAUGGCGUAACGACUUCUCGACUGUCUCAACCAUAGGCCCGGUGAAAUUGCACUACGAGUAAAGAUGCUCGUUUCGCGCAGCAGGACGGAAAGACCCCGGGACCUUUACUAUAGUUUGAUAUUGGUGUUCGGUUCGGCUUGUGUAGGAUAGGUGGGAGACUUUGAAGCGGCCACGCCAGUGGUUGUGGAGUCGCCGUUGAAAUACCACUCUGGUCGUGCUGGAUGUCUAACCUGGGUCCGUGAUCCGGAUCAGGGACAGUGUCUGAUGGGUAGUUUAACUGGGGCGGUUGCCUCCUAAAGAGUAACGGAGGCGCCCAAAGGUUCCCUCAGCCUGGUUGGCAAUCAGGUGUUGAGUGUAAGUGCACAAGGGAGCUUGACUGUGAGACCGACGGGUCGAGCAGGGACGAAAGUCGGGACUAGUGAUCCGGCAGUGGCUUGUGGAAGCGCUGUCGCUCAACGGAUAAAAGGUACCCCGGGGAUAACAGGCUGAUCUUCCCCAAGAGUCCAUAUCGACGGGAUGGUUUGGCACCUCGAUGUCGGCUCGUCGCAUCCUGGGGCUGGAGUCGGUCCCAAGGGUUGGGCUGUUCGCCCAUUAAAGCGGUACGCGAGCUGGGUUUAGAACGUCGUGAGACAGUUCGGUCCCUAUCCGCUGUGCGCGUAGGAAUAUUGAGAAGGGCUGUCCCUAGUACGAGAGGACCGGGACGGACGAACCUCUGGUGUGCCAGUUGUUCUGCCAAGGGCAUGGCUGGUUGGCUACGUUCGGAAAGGAUAACCGCUGAAAGCAUCUAAGCGGGAAGCCUGCUUCGAGAUGAGUGUUCCCACCACCUUGAGUGGUUAAGGCUCCCAGUAGACGACUGGGUUGAUAGGCCAGAUGUGGAAGCCCGGUAACGGGUGGAGCUGACUGGUACUAAUAGGCCGAGGGCUUGUCCUC